AGGAGGUGCCUUUCAGGCAUCCUCUCCUAACUUUUAUGGGUCGAUCUUCGGAUCGGCCCUUUUUUUUGCCCGUG
rnacentral:sRNA from 1 species